rnacentral:tRNA from 1 species
GCUAGCGUAGCUUAACUAAAGCAUAACACUGAAGAUGUUAAGAUGGGCCCUAAGAAGCCCCGCGGGCA